rnacentral:rRNA from 1 species
AACGAACGCUGGCGGCAUGCCUAACACAUGCAAGUCGAACGAGACCUUCGGGUCUAGUGGCGCACGGGUGCGUAACGCGUGGGAACCUGCUCUUAGGUUCGGAAUAACUCCCCGAAAGGGGUGCUAAUACCGGAUAAUGUCUUCGGACCAAAGAUUUAUCGCCUUUGGAUGGGCCCGCGUUGGAUUAGCUAGUUGGUAGGGUAAAAGCCUACCAAGGCGACGAUCCAUAGCUGGUCUGAGAGGAUGAUCAGCCACACUGGGACUGGGACACGGCCCAGACUCCUACGGGAAGCAGCAGUGGGGAAUAUUGGACAAUGGGCGAAAGCCUGAUCCAGCAAUGCCGCGUGAGUGAUGAAGGCCUUAGGGUUGUAAAGCUCUUUUACCCGGGAUGAUAAUGACAGUACCGGGAGAAUAAGCUCCGGCUAACUCCGUG